rnacentral:rRNA from 1 species
GUGGAUUAGAUACCCGGGUAGUCCUUGCCGUAAACGAUGUAUACUUGAUGUAGUUAGGCUCAACCCUGGCUGUGUCGUAGCUAACGCGAUAAGUAUACCGCCUGAGGAGUACGCUCGCAAGGGUGAAACUCAAAAGAAUUGACGGGGGCCCGCACAAGCAGUGGAGCAUGUGGUUUAAUUCGAUGCAACGCGAAGAACCUUACCCAGGCUCGAAAUGCAAAGGAUAGCAUCAGAAAUGGUGUGUUCCGAAAGGACCUUUGUAUAGGUGCUGCACGGUCGUCGUCAACU